GACGAACGCUGGCGGCGUGCUUAACACAUGCAAGUCGAACGCUGAAGCUUGGUGCUUGCACUGGGUGGAUGAGUGGCGAACGGGUGAGUAAUACGUGAGUAACCUGCCCUUGACUCUGGGAUAAGCCUGGGAAACUGGGUCUAAUACUGGAUACGACUUGUCACCGCAUGGUGGUGUGUGGAAAGGGUUUUACUGGUUUUGGAUGGGCUCACGGCCUAUCAGCUUGUUGGUGGGGUAAUGGCUCACCAAGGCGACGACGGGUAGCCGGCCUGAGAGGGUGACCGGCCACACUGGGACUGAGACACGGCCCAGACUCCUACGGGAGGCAGCAGUGGGGAAUAUUGCACAAUGGGCGGAAGCCUGAUGCAGCGACGCCGCGUGAGGGAUGACGGCCUUCGGGUUGUAAACCUCUUUCAGCACGGAAGAAGCGAAAGUGACGGUACGUGCAGAAGAAGCGCCGGCUAACUACGUG
rnacentral:rRNA from 1 species